rnacentral:rRNA from 2 species
AAAACGACUCUCGACAACGGAUAUCUCGGCUCUCGCAUCGAUGAAGAACGCAGCGAAAUGCGAUACUUGGUGUGAAUUGCAGGAUCCCGCGAACCAUCGAGUCUUUGAACGCAAGUUGCGCCCUAAGCCUUCCGGCCGAGGGCACGUCUGCCUGGGUGUCAUUC